UUCCUGUAGUUAAAAUCUGUAACGACGGCUUUUCAGGCCGUAGAUCUCGGAGAGAGGCCGGGCAGGAAU
rnacentral:tRNA from 1 species